GACGAACGCUGGCGGCGUGCCUAACACAUGCAAGUCGAGCGGAGUUAGUAAGAGGAAGUUUUCGGAUGGAAUCUUAUUGAUUUAGCGGCGGACGGGUGAGUAACGCGUGAGCGACCAACCUUGCACAGGGGGAUAACGGACCGAAAGGUUCACUAAUACCGCCUGAGACCACGGUGUUGCAUGACACAGAGGUCAAAGGAGCAAUCCGGUGCAAGACGGGCUCGCGUCCGAUUAGGUAGUUGGAGGGGUAACGGCCCACCAAGCCUAUGAUCGGUAGCCGACCUGGGAGGGUGAUCGGCCACAUUGGAACUGAGAUACGGUCCAAACUCCUACGGGAGGCAGCAGUGGGGAAUAUUGGGCAAUGGGGGAAACCCUGACCCAGCAACGCCGCGUGAAGGAAGAAGGUUUUCGGAUUGUAAACUUCUGUCCUUGGUGAAGAGAAGAAGACGGUAGCCAAGGAGGAAGCCCCGGCUAACUACGUGCCAGCAGCCGCGGUAA
rnacentral:rRNA from 1 species